rnacentral:lncRNA from 1 species
CGGCAUAUGGAGGUUCCCAGGCUAGGGGUCGAAUCGGAGCUGUAGCCACAGGCCUACGCCAGAGCCACAGCAAACGAGGGAUCUGAACCGCUUUUGCAACCUACACCACAGCUCACAGCAACGCCUGAUCCUUAACCCACUAAGCAAGUCCAGGGAUCAAACCCACAACCUCAUGGUUCCUAGUCAGAUUCGUUAACCACUGAGCCACAACGGGAACUCCCUAUCAGGAAUUUCUAAAUGUUCUCUAAUGUGUGUGGAGUAUGCAUGUAAUUUCUCCUGAACAGUAAAAUAUCACUAGUUUCUUUUUCUCAAAAACACAAAACCAAACCCAAAAACUAGGGAGCAAUCGUUGUGCCAUUUUUGAUUUCUGCCUUUGUCUUCACCAUUUGCGCCAAUGGUUCAGUGGCUCUGGCCUGAAGGAUGUUUUCUCAGCUCUGUUCUUAUGCUCUUUCAUUGUGCACUUCAGCUUGAAAGACACACCCACCCCUGGAUCCUCCAAGGCAAGUUAGUUUGACAUUCAAUCCUAGCCUGGGUCUCUGGUUUACCAUCAAAGCAAGAGUAGGACUGAUUCAGCCUUUCCCAUGAAAUUGCUAAAUGCUAUUUCAUUAAAUAUCUGCCAGAGCAGUGCAUUUUUAUUGUUGUUUUUAAAAACUAAGAAGGAAACCAAAAUAACUCCAUGAAACAAGUAUACCCAAAUUCGUGUAUGGGGUCAGGAAAAUUGAGAACAAAAUGACUAGUGUUGCAAAACAGAAAUAAGGACAAUGGAAAGGAAAUUUUGUAAAAACAAAAACAAAAACAAAAAAAACCUUCCCCCGAUAUUGACGUGAAAUGGCAGGUUGAGUAGAGCCUUCUGAUAAAAUAUGAUCUGUACUCAAAAUGUUUUACUCUAACUACUCAUUCCCUAAAUCAAUAUUAUAUAAAAUCCUUCCUUCCCUUUCUUUUUCUUUUUAUAGCUACUCCCAUGGCAUAUGGAAGUUCCCAGGCUACGGGUCCAAUUGGAGCUGCAGCUGCCAGCCUACACCACAGCCACAGCAAUGCUGGAUCCAAGCCACAUCUGUCCUAUGCUGCACCUUUCGGAAACUCUGGAUCCUUAACCCACUGAACAAGGCCAGGGAUCAAACCUGCAUCUUCAUGGACACUAUGUUGGGUGCUUAACCUGCUGAGCCACAACAGGAACUCCUUAUAUAAAAUUCUGUAUGAAUUCUAGAAACUGAGGCAGAAAAUUAUCCCCAUCACUGAGACUCAGAGGGUCGAUGGGAUACACCAGUAGGCAUUGACCUGGUGACAAUGGCCCUCGUGAUGCGGGAAGAGACCUGUGCACUGUGCCUGUCCUCCUUUGACCCUGCCAGGAAGCUAAGCAGAGCAUGGGAGACUCAGCAUCACCUGAUUCUUUACUACAUCUGGCCUGGGACCUCACAGGGAUGGUCCCUCUGUAGGGGCAUCUCCCUGUGUGGUACCCUCCUUGCUGCCUCUGGCCUGCCUCCUUCUCUGGCUUCCUUUGGGCUAUUGUAAACCAGAGAUCAUGGCUUCUAAAAAUAAUCUGGUUAAGGUAAACAAGACAUGUCACUUUCCUGGUGAAGGUGCUGGGGGUAUAACCCCUCCAUCUUUGGACUCUCAAGAGUCAGAGGGGCCUCUAAAGAAAGAAUGGUCAUUUUCUGAGUCGCCGAUGCUCUGAGAGAGCCACGAGGCAGAGGCAGUAAUAGCUGAGAGCAAGGCAGCCCCGCGUCCUCUCGUCAUGGGCUCUCAGCUAUUACCAUUCCUGUGGCUUCACACUGACAGUUAUAAAUAUGUACGUAUAGAUUGAAUAAAUAUAUGUAGACUAAAAUAGGACAAAAUAGUAGGAUUAAAGCUUGAAACUGGCUUAAAGCUUGAAACAAAAAAUAUAGUAAUGUUGGUGUCUAGGGGGAACCAACCAACAGUACUCCUUUCUCGGUCCAAAUCUUCAACCAACAGAGCAAUAAUCACAAAGUCAAGCAGAGGAAGACCACACACCAUUUAUUCCCGAGCUAUCUGUGUGCUCUCCGCAGAUGAGCAGCUCCCAAGGAGGGGAGAGGAGUGGCUUAGCUAUAUUCGCUCAGUUCCUCUUUCUAAACUCAACAGUCCCAUGGCUCAUGCACCAGAGUAGGUAAAUGGGUAAGGAAGACACGCCAGAGAGCUGCCUCUACAUGGAGGACGCAUCAUAAGUGGAGAAGACGCGCCCACCACACAUACCCUCCUGCUAUUCCUCUUCCAUUAAUCUCGUUUUAUUUAUUUUUUAUUUAUUUAUUUUUGCUUUUUAGGGCCACACCUGUGGCAUAUGGAGGUUCCCAGGCUAGGGGUCUAAUUGGAGCUACAGCUGCUGGCCUGUACCACAGCCACAGCAACGUGAGAUCCAAGGCACAUCUGCGACCUACACCAGAGCUCACAGCAACACCAGAUCCUUAAUCUGCUAAGCGAGGCCAGGGAUCGAACCCUCAACCUCAUGGUUCCAACUUGGAUAUGUUUUCACUGUGCCAUGACGGGAACUCCCCUUCCAUUUAUCUCUUGAGGUUAGUAAGUGUACGGCCAAUAGGAAAAAGGUAUUUCCCAUCUUCACGAAGCUACUUCUGCCAUACCAACGACCACUUCUUUGGGUGUCUUCAUGGACAGGGUGGAUUUUCACCCCUUGAAAGCUCUGAAAUGAACUGAAACUGUGUAAUAAUUAAAUUAAUUCCAUGGCAUUAGUUUUCUGGGGCUGUUGUAACGAAUGACCACAACUGGGUGGCUUAAAGCAACAGAAACUUAUCCUCUCACUGUUUCAAGGCCAAAAGUCCAAAAUCAAGGAGUCAGCAAGUGCAGACUCCAUCUGCAGGCUCAGGGGAGGGUCCUUUCUCACCUCCUCCGUGGCUUCUGGGAGCAAGGCUCUAGUCUUUCUCCGCCUCUGUCUUCACACGAUCUUCAGGUGAGGCCCUAAAAAGACAAAAAUAAGUAAAAUUAAAUUAAAUUAAAUUAAAAUUAAUAACACACUAGCAGAAAUAGGCCCCAAAUCUAGAUAUAAAAUUUCUUCCAUUACCAAAUCCCUAGAAGGCAAUGAACAUACUGUGCUGGGCCCCUGACUCCAAGCACAAGAGCUGCUUCUUCAUCAGUAAUGCGGUUCCCCUGAGCCCAAGGUCCUUGCUUUGUGAGAUCUCACCUUGUAAACAGCAGACCCUAUCUUUGCACUAACCAGGAAUCGAAGAUGUCCUCCACUGCUGGUGACUCACCUCAGCUCCAUUGGUGGCUCUGAAAGUGUCAUCAAGUCACUCUCACAAGAGCCUGUUGCUCCUCUGAAUGUACAGUCAGCAUCAGUGGCAAUUACCUCAGUCAAUUUCUCUUUUUCUCUACAGUACAGACAUAAAGGUAAUCAACUCUGCCUCCUGGGCUGAUUUCCAGGGUCUGAGAUUGACAUCUGCUCCUGACCUCAUCCUUCUGUCUUGUACCUGUUCCAAUUUCCCGAAAACCCAACAUUCCCAUCACAUGUGGAACUUCUCUUAGUAUUUCAGGCCGAAAUGAAAUUUCAACUAGUAUUUCAACUCAAUCUAGCUGAGUUGCCCUGCUGAACAGAUGGGUUACAAACUGUUGUUGUUUGCCUAUGACACAGACACGUGUGAUAUGCCCAUAAUCCUCUCCUGCGUAUAGAAUCUUAUCUUGUGCUUGUUUCAAAGAAACCUACGGAAGAUGUAAGGAAAAGAAUUCGUCAGACAAAAUGGUUGCCACUGACCUUCCCUUGCAGAACUCACCCCCUGGAAGCAGCUGGAGGGAUUUGUGGCAUGAGCAGAUCUGGAUCUUCUGCUCCUUGAAUCAAGUAUCAGUUUGGGAGUGCCCACCCCUCCACACCAAAAAGAACUUUUCAUACUAUCCAUCAUUAACCUGUAGGCUGAGGAAUUACCAGAGAAAAAUGCCCAGAUUUCCAGGGAGGAGAAGGAUGGGUGUUCUCUGAUUUGCAUGCAUAUCCCUGAUUCAAUUAACUGUGACCAACAGGUAGGGUCACACCUCAACCAGGGUGGCUGAUGAGGCCCUCCAUGGUUGGUAAAGUAGAAGUUAUAUGUGGGACAGACACUCUAAAAGGUCAAGAUGACAGGUAUAGAAUCAGCAUGGCAUACAGAAUUGAGUCUGGGGAGUUCCCAUCAUGGCGCAGCAGAAAUGAAUCCCACUAGUAUCCAUGAGGAUGCAGGUUCGGUCCCUGGCCUUGCUCAGUGGGUCACCGAUCUGGCAUUGCUGUGAGCUGUGGUGUAGGUCACAGACACAGCUCAGAUCUACUGUUGCUGUGGCUGUGGCAGCAGCUGUAGCUCCGAUUCGACCCCUAGCCUGGGAACCUCCAUACACCACAGGUUCAGCCCUAAAAAGAAAAAAAAAUAUAAUUGUGUCUGAUUCAUUCAGCAAGUCACUUACCUUCUCUAAGUCUCAGUUUCUUCACCUGAAAACAGGAACACUUCCACUUGCCUUGGUGCUUUUAUGAAGAUUAAAGUAGAAAAUGCAUGUACAGCAAAUGCGCAACUGGCCAAGGAAGAUGCUCUGUCCUCCACGUCCCUGGAGAGGAACAUAACGGAUUCUUCCUGCACGUGGGGUGGGAGAUGAAAGCAGCUCCUAUGAGGGGUGCUUCAGGCCUGAAACACUGGAUUCAAAGGAAGGUCUCCAAGAAUCCUGGGUCCUGGAUGAUCCCAGGAACUGGAACAACUUUUCCUACAGGAGCCACAACAUCCACUUUGCGUCCAGGCACCCUCCCCACGGCUUACCUCAGAGGCAGAGAAGAAGGUUUAUGUCAAAGGAAUUUGGUCCAAGUGUUAGGCAGGUAAUUCCUCACGCAUCAACACCACGGGACACACUCAUUAGCACUCGUCCUCCAACACUCCCUUGGCUCUAAGCUUGGACGUCUGUCUAAUGCUUCUAUUUCUGCCCUCUGGACAUGGCUUUGAGCUUAAUAUUUGACCCCCUUAGCUGAUCUCUUGUUAUUGCUUACAGACAUGGCUUUUCAUGCCCCCUUCCUGCUCUUGGGACUUCUAUUUACACCAAGGAUAACACGCCUCUUGUCAGCCCCUUGGGACCAACUCUUGGUGCCGCUCAUGGCCUGCAUCUCUAGCUGGUCCUGCUCGGCACCCCAAGGGGAGAGGUGAACAAAACCCAGUGAUCCACUGGUACCUAGACCGUGCAUGUGGCCAUGCGUGAUCUCGUAAGGACAAACACCGGGUGAGUUUACUGAGACUGGAUCCAUCUUCCUCUGCAGCAAAACAAGAGAUGAGGAGUAGGAAGGCAGAAGUGAGGGUAGGAUGCCAGCUUGAAGCCAAGCAGCAGCCAUGCCGAGGGUCAAACACAUCUGAAAAUACCUAUUGAAUGGAAGCUGUGCCUGUCAGAAGUCCAUUAGUUUGAGGGAUGGAGCAAUCUCAGAGGAAAAGAACAUCCUUAAGGAAGAGGAAGCCAGGUAAAUACACUCGAUCCAUUUAAGAAUAUCUAGUACCAUGAGUUUUUUUUUUUUUUUUCCUUUUCUGAGGUUAGUAGAUGCAAACUGUUGUAUUUGGAGUGGACAAGCAAUGAGAUCCUGCUAUAUAGCACAGGGCACUAUAUCUAAUCACACGUGAUGGAACGUGAUGGAGGAUAAUAUGAGAAAAAGAAUGCAUAUAUAUGUAUAACUGGGUCACUUUGCUGUCUUGCAGAAAUUAAGAGAACACCAUAAAUCAGCUACAAUAAAAAAAUUUAAAAAGAAUAUCUAGUCCCUAUUUAUAGUUAGAAUAGGGCUAGGUUAGUGUCUCU